rnacentral:hammerhead_ribozyme from 1 species
AUCUAGGUGACGAGUCCCAAACACGACGAAAUGUACAUCCUGGAU